GAUGAAGAACGUAGUGAAAUGCGAUAAGUAAUGUGAAUUGCAGAAUUCAGUGAAUCAUCGAAUCUUUGAACGCACAUUGCGCCCCCUGGUAUUCCGGGGGGCAUGCCUGUCCGAGCGUCAUUACAACCCUCAAGCUCAGCUUGGUGUUGGGCCCCGCCGCCCCGGCGGGCCCUUAAGUCAGUGGCGGUGCCGUCCGGCUCCGAGCGUAGUAAUUCUUCUCGCUCUGGAGGUCCGGUCGUGUGCUCGCCAGCAACCCCCAAUUUUUUUCAGGUUGACCUCGGAUCAGGUAGGGAUACCCGCUGAACUUAAGCAUAUCAAUAAGCGGAGGA
rnacentral:misc_RNA from 1 species